AUUGAACGCUGGCGGCAUGCCUUACACAUGCAAGUCGAACGGUAACGGGCCUUCGGGUGCCGACGAGUGGCGAACGGGUGAGUAAUACAUCGGAACGUGCCCGAUCGUGGGGGAUAACGAGGCGAAAGCUUUGCUAAUACCGCAUACGAUCUACGGAUGAAAGCAGGGGACCGCAAGGCCUUGCGCGGACGGAGCGGCCGAUGGCAGAUUAGGUAGUUGGUGGGAUAAAAGCUUACCAAGCCGACGAUCUGUAGCUGGUCUGAGAGGAUGAUCAGCCACACUGGGACUGAGAAACGGCCCAGACUCCUACGGGAGGCAGCAGUGGGGAAUUUUGGACAAUGGGCGCAAGCCUGAUCCAGCCAUGCCGCGUGCAGGAUGAAGGCCUUCGGGUUGUAAACUGCUUUUGUACGGAACGAAAAGCCUUCUUUUAAUACAGGAGGGUCAUGACGGUACCGUAAGAAUAAGCACCGGCUAACUACGUG
rnacentral:rRNA from 1 species